rnacentral:rRNA from 1 species
AGGACGAACGCUGGCGGCGUGCCUAACACAUGCAAGUCGAGCGAGGAGAUUCCUCGGGAUGAUCCUAGCGGCGGACGGGUGAGUAACACGUGGGCAACCUGCCUCAUAGAGAGGAAUAGCCUUCCGAAAGGGAGAUUAAUACCUCAUAACAUUGCAGUUUCGCAUGGAACAGCAAUUAAAGGAGUAAUCCGCUAUGAGAUGGGCCCGCGGCGCAUUAGCUAGUUGGUGAGGUAAUGGCUCACCAAGGCGACGAUGCGUAGCCGACCUGAGAGGGUGAUCGGCCACAUUGGGACUGAGACACGGCCCAGACUCCUACGGGAGGCAGCAGUGGGGAAUAUUGCACAAUGGGGGAAACCCUGAUGCAAGCAACGCCGCGUGAGUGAUGACGGCCUUCGGGUUGUAAAGCUCUGUCUUCAGGGACGAUAAUGACGGUACCUGAGGAGGAAGCCACGGCUAACUACGUGCCAGCAGCCGC